GUUAUGGUUAUGGUUUUAGGCCAAAACCGACCGAAACCGACCCAUGCCCACCCCUAGUAUUAUAUAUUUUGUUCAUAAACCCUUGUUUGUUUUAUUUGUUUCCAUUUGUAUUCAUUAAUAUUAGUUUGAACUCAUUUGUGUUCAUCAACGUUCAUUUGCGUUCGUUAACUAAAAUUAACAAACAAACGCAAACAAACACGAACAAGUUUAUUCCCUUAACAAACAAACACGAACACAAAACCCCCCCAUUCGUAAAGAUAAUUGGGUAAAUUGUUUUCGAAAUGCAACUAAUUGAGGGUUGGGUCAGAAAUUAUUAUUAUUACUAUAUAUUAAUAGAGAAAGCUAAUGAAGAGUUUAGGAGGGCAUGUUUGUAAUUUUCAGUUGCUGAUUAACUUAAGAAGACAACAUUGGGAAUACACGAGAGAACAAUUACAAAGACAGAGAGGGAGCGCCGCAUCGGAGAGAGAGAUCACGGGCAGAGAGAGAGAUCGCGGCGCCGGAGAGAGAGAUCGACCAACGUUUGUGACGGUACAGGAGUAGAGGCCGACGGGGGAUGUCAGCUCGGAGGCUGCGAUGGCUCUGACAAUGACGACGGUUGAACGACUAGGGUUCCGAUCAAGUUCCGGCAUCUUUCCGGUAACAUCCGGUGAGGCUCCAGCGAGGAUUCCAGGGAACGAACUUGAAGAUGCAUGUUUCUUUUUCGAGUAGACCAACAAACCCCGAGUAUUUCAGAGCUUAAACUUCCACCCAAAACUCAUUUCCGUUGGCCAAUAAAUAGUCACUUUUCAGUAGACAUCAAGACAUUUGGUGUUCUUUUUAAGCCACGGAAGGCUAUCCAAGUUAAGAUCUUCAUUUAGAUUUUUCUACAAAAACCUACUUUAGAUUUUCCCAUUAAGAUUGCUGUUGUAAUUGUAUAUUCUCUAGGUUUUCGUAUAUGAUAUGUUGAAGUUUUGAUGCUUGCUUAUUGAGGUUUUUGUGCAGUUGAGUCCCAAAAUGACAAAUUAUCAAUGUAGGUUUGUUGAAUUUAUUAUCUCCCUUUUCUUUGCACAAUUUAUAUGCUAUUGCAGGAACCGUGUACGUUAAAUAGCGAAUGGAAAUGAACAGUUAAACCACCCAUCACACGCCUACGUGGCAGGUUUCCUCCUCUCUCGAAUGGUGUGCAUGGAGAGGAGCCAGUUGUUUUUGUGUUUUUGUUUAUAAUGACAAUAAGAAAAGUCAAGGCCAAUUACUUACACAAACCCACCUUUGGCCAUGGUCUCUAGAGCCAUGCUCCCGAAUUCGCUCAGAAUAUUAACAAAAAAAAAAAAAAUAAUGUUGCUCGCAAUAAUACAACACAUAAUAUUGUAUACGCUGACUUGCUAAAUGAGAUUAACGGCCGACAAGUUUUAAUCCCUCUUGAACACUUACAUAUAUCUUUUUGAUAGAUGGUAAAUAGAAUCAUACAUAAAAUGAUGUUAAUGCUUUCACAUAUAAGGUUUUCCUCUG